rnacentral:lncRNA from 1 species
AUGGACACGGUCAAGGGACACAAGGGGGGUGACCACGAGAUGGUCAGGCAGCUUUUAGUCGGAGUCAACUUGUGGUUUGUGAAGACACGGGUGGACAUGGCCGUGGGGAAAGACCAGGAGGGAGGCACCGGGAAAGCUUAUUCCUGCUUCGGGGAACACUAUGAAGCUUGCAACUGCUGGCCGAGGGAGCUUCGGGGCCUGAGAAAGCUUGGAAAGAAGGCUAGUGCUGCCAUUGACAGUGACUGCCAGCAGGUAUGUCCCAUUAUCUCCCAGGGCCUCAGCUGUCUCCUCAGUGAACUGGGCAUAGUGAUGCCCACUUUGCAGAGAGGCAGUGAGGACUGAAGACCAUCACGUGAGUGCAGUGCCUCGCACACAGAGUCCUCCUCUCUCCUCCACCGCCCUUUCCCUCACUGUUUCAUGUUUCCGUCUAGGAAAACAGGUGAAUAAGAUCCUGUCCCUUAAAAAACUUAGGCGACAGGGAAUUCCCGUCAUGGCUCAGGAGUUACAAACCUGACUAGGACCCAUGAGGAUGUGGGUUCGAUCCCUAGCCUCGCUCAGUGGGUUAAGGAUCUGGCGUUGCCGUGAGCUGUGGUGUAUGUCACAGAAGCAGCUCGGAUCCUGUGUGGCUGUGCCUGUGGGUGGCAGCUGCAGUUCCGAUUUGACCCCUAGCCUGAGAACUUCCAUAUGCUGCAGGUGCAGCCCUUAAAAAAAAAGACCAAAAAAAAAAAAAAAAGAAAAAGAAAGAAAGAAACGUAGGUGACACAAUAGGGCCAAAGAAACACGUGGCUGGGGAGUUCAAGAUGUGGCUUUACCUCUCUGUCUCUUAAUGGAGGUAAUUACACCUACCUUUUCUCUCGAGUUUGUAGGAAGAUGAAAUAAGACAACUCCGGUAAAGCUCUUGGUCCCACACCUGGCACAUUAUAGGUGCCGCUAAAUAGUUGCAUGGUCCCGCAUGGUCAAGUUCACUCACAAAAUGAAUGUGGCAAAGGCCACAGAGCGGGCAGAGAAUGUGCUGUGGGAGUUCAGGGGAAGAGGAUUUCCAACUGGAUAUCCAGGAAGGCUCCAAGGAGGAGGCAGCAUUUCAGCUAAUUUGGACACGAGGUGAUGAGAGGAGGAGGGAGAGAGAGAUUAUUCCGGGCACGUGUAUGGAAACCAGAAAAUGUGGCUGGCAGGGCAGGCUGGCGGGUGUGGACAGGAGCUUUAGGAGCCAAGGCAGGAAUGGCUGUGGCUGGAGUCUGACCUAGAAAGCCUUCAGCGAGGAACGGAGUUGGGAACGUCAACUCAACGGAGAGCUGCUAAAGUUCCCAAGGGGAGUGGGUGUGUGGGUGUGUGGGUGUGUGUG